CAGCAGCCGCGGGAAUACGUAGGGUGCGAGCGUUAAUCGGAAUUACUGGGCGUAAAGCGAGCGCAGACGGUUAUUUAAGCAGGAUGUGAAAUCCCCGGGCUUAACCUGGGAACUGCGUUCUGAACUGGAUAGCUAGAGUGUGUCAGAGGGGGGUAGAAUUCCACGUGUAGCAGUGAAAUGCGUAGAGAUGUGGAGGAAUACCGAUGGCGAAGGCAGCCCCCUGGGAUAACACUGACGUUCAUGCUCGAAAGCGUGGGUAGCAAACAGGAUUAGAUACCCCCGUAGUCCCUGUCUCUUAUAC
rnacentral:rRNA from 1 species